UACGUAGGGUGCGAGCGUUAAUCGGAAUUACUGGGCGUAAAGCGUGCGCAGGCGGUUUUCUGAAGUCCGUUGUGAAAGCCCCCGGGCUUAACCUGGGGAAUGGCAGUGGAAACUAGGAGACUUGAAUCUGGCAGAGGGGGGGUGGAAUGCCACGUGUAGCAGUGAAAAUGCGUAGAGAUGUGGCGGAACACCGAUGGCGAAGGCAGCCCCCUGGGUCAAGAUUGACGCUCAGGCACGAAAGCGUGGGGAGCAAACAGG
rnacentral:rRNA from 1 species